AGGAGUGUAGCUCAAUGGUAGAGCACCGGUCUCCAAAACCGGAGGUUGCGGGUUCAAGUCCUGUCUCUCCUGCCA
rnacentral:tRNA from 1 species